AAUACCUUACAGAUCAGCUUGUUGUAGUAAAGAAGAAUGCUGAACUUAGCACCUUUGUAACUUUCCAGUUAUCACAGCAGAGAAGAAUGCUGAACUUUGCACAUUUGUAUCUUUCCACUUAUCACUGUACAAUAAAGUUGAUGAUUUGAUUGAUUGAAAUGUCAGUCUGUUUAUUGUGCAUACGCGAGCAAUAUCAGGUAACCGCGCGCAGCUGAAAGUGGGAUCAAAAAUAGACCAUGACGCAGAGUUUUUUACUUGUGCGCAGACGCGCAUUUUUUUAUCACAACUUGUGCCGUGGCAUUUAAAACAAAUCCUUCACGAAAAGAAACCAUUUCGGUUGAAAUCCUGUUGGUGUACGAAAACACGACAAGCAACUGAUUCCAACAUGAGCGGGAAUGGUGACGGUGACGAUCCAAAAUACGAUGAGAGCUGCGAGACAAAAAGGAUUGGGCAAAAUAACAAGGAAGAAGCGGAAUUAGCCAUCCCCUAUCUGCCGAACCAAGACUUCGUCGUAACCACAUCUGGAUAUCGUGUUUUGAACCAAGUUGAUGUUGACCGGCGAUGAAUUACGCAUCAGCAGUUUACAAGAAGAUGAAUUUAUCACAAGCGCCUUUAAAGAAACAACAUUUGACAUGAAGCUUAGCUAGCGUGUUAAACUGUAAUUGCUAUUUCGAUGUAAUUGGAGUUCCAUAUUGUCUUGGUUAAAAAUGAAGUAAUAAAGGAAAUCUUUUAAGCGCUCAACUUUGUGCGUCGUCGUAGAUAACGCGCGCUCCAUAUAAAAUGCAAAACGCCCCUAUAUUACAGCAUGAUCAAAGUACGUUUUCUCCUUCCUGUUAUCCAACCGAAGCACUUCUUAAAAUAGCGCACUAGUCGUGCUGACAGCUUGAGUGUCUCGUAUGCAAAGAAGCUACAAUGAUUAUUUUGACUAGACACAUUGCCAUCACAUACGACUAAGUCAUUGUUAUUUUCGCACAGGCCGCUUUUAACGAUGACAGCUCGCUUGGUUCAUGGUUAAGUUAUGGGCGCAAGUAACAAAAGCGGGAGAAGGACGUGUAUAAGAACGUGUUCGAGAAUACACGCGCGUCAAACUGAGGCCCUGCGCAUGAGCCUUGUCAACUUCCAACUACGCGUUGCAUAUUGCACCAUCACGCAGUCAACACUGAGUAAUUUUAAACGAGUGCUGAUUCCAAAAUGAGUUGGUAUCAACAUGACGAGCCGGAUGUUUCUCCUCAUUGCGAAGCAGUAAGGAUAGGGAGAGAUGGCAAGAGUGCCGAAGUGACAAUCUUCUACACACCAGAAGGAGAAUUCGAAGUUCACAACGGGUACUUAGUAGAGAAGAAAUCACGAACAAAUUUGGGGAGAUCAUUUGACCAACUGAAAAUAGUUACUUCAAGAGGAAAACAAAUACUGGUUCGACGAUAUGACGACUUAGGAGAAUUCGAGAUCAUGUCGGAUGGAUACUGGUUGAAGCAAGAGGACGUUGAACUUUGAGAACACGGUAUCAAGGAGAACUGCACUGAGGGAAUUGACCUGUUUAUUUAGUUUGCAAUGAACGUAAGCAUUACACGGAAGGAUUGAAUUUAUCGCAAACGCCCUCAAGGAAGCAGAGAAUUAAAACGUAGAUCCAAGCUUGUGUUUUGUUAUCGCUAUCUCAACGUAGUAAGAGUCCAAGACUGCCUUGUGUAGUUAAUGUAAUAAAGGAAAUGAUUUUCUUCUAAACUUUGUGUCGUAAAUAAAGCGCGCUCUGUCCGAAAUGCAAAACAACGCCACAAUAAUGCAGUGUGAUCAAAAUACGUUCUCUCCUUACUGUUAUUCCGACCGAAGCACUUCUUAAAAUAGCGCGUUAGUCAUGCUAAAAGCUUAAGUGUCUCGCGUGCCAACAGUUUUGACUAGGCAUAUUUCCAUCACAUACGACUUAAUCCUUGCUAUUUUCGCACAGGCUACUUUUAGCGAUGACACUCGCUUAGAUUAUGUCUAAGUUGUGCGCGCAAGUAAUAUGCUCAAAAUUCAGAGCACAAAAUAAUACACUGAACGUGCGCGCGUACCCCGCGAGGAGACUCGCGAGAGAAUGACACGCAAAAUAAACCAAACAUUCUGUCGACGAGUUAAUACGUAAAUUCUUAUUUACCAAAGUAUUUCACAAUUAUGGUCGAGAUUUCUGGCCAUGGAACCACCUGAGCCUGAUCAUAAAUUCGUUGAAAUCGUUAAAGUUGGCAGAGAUUACCACUGGUCUUCAGAUGUAACAAUAUACUACAAAUCGGAAACCAGGAGUGAGUCGACAUUUUCUCCCCGGUUACGAGCAGUAGACCGUUGAAAUCAACGUAGUUUCGUUUUGUUUCGAUCGUUUUAGAGUUUAAAGUUGAAGGCGGAUGCAAGCUAAGGAAAAUUCCACGGCGGACUAUCGACAAGUGUGGAUUUCAAUGGCUAACGAACGCCACACUUUUAAAGUCACGCGAUUUAAAACCGGAGGUAAAAUAUGUCAUUAAAAGUGCGCAAUCAUUUUUGCAACAACUGUGCUAAAAUUGCUUUAUGUUUCCUACUGAAAGUCUACUGGGUCGAUGAAGGAUACUGGAUAUCUGGACCUAAACUAGUUCAUUUUUAAAGCAAGGUAGGGUAAUUCAGUUAAAUGUCCUAGUUUUAUAAUUUUAUAAUUCUUCUUUUGACACGCGAGCAUCUUCACGCGGUAGAACUAGUAAUAACAAACUUCGAAUACCGUCCAAAUAUGCGGACUCUUAUUCCAUAACUAAAGCCAUUCACAACGUCAGAAAAUACCGGAAAAUCGGAGUCAGGUGCCUAAUCACUGCAGAUACUACACGGACAGAAACAUUCUUAUACGCGACGUGUCCAGUGGAAUAAUAUCACCUAACAACUCAGAAAGGCUAUGAUUUGAAGAAAACGAUUCCGGCGCCGUUUACAUCAAUUCCUUAUUUUCAUCACAGGUUGUAUGUGGAGAAACAAAGCCCUGUCAUAGCAGAAGAAAGUAGUAUGAAUGUAGAACUAUUUUGAAAUUACUUUAACUCGAAUGGUUGAUUGUCCUGGGCAAAUUAUUUCGUCUAAUCAAUUUAUUACUGGUUUGUGUUGUAGCUAGUGUCGAGCCGCUAAAUAAAAUGCUUCCAGGUAAGGUUAGAAUGUUUUUCAUCAACGAUAUCCGAGGUAGGCCGACGUAAAUGAUAAAGAAAGAUCAGGUGUGAUUAAAACUAAAUUCUCAUUUCCCCUCUGGUCUCAUUUGUCAUAUAUUGAAAUGUGUUUUGACAGUUGGUGCUGCGCAGCGCAAAUAUAAAAACAUACUCGAGACCACGCGCGCGUCAAAGUGAAGCCAUACACAUCUGCUAUUUCCGUCGCCAAUCACGCGUUGCGUAUCAUUGUAUUGCACCAUCACUCGCUCAACACCCUGAAUAAAUUGAGACGAACACUGCUAUUCCCGCCGACUAGAGACUCGCUAACAGGCGUGAUAAGUCAGUUUUUCACUAAUUCGACACUUUUCAAGCUAAAAUGAGUUGGUUUCAGACGCGAGAUGCAACGAAUUCUUUUCGCGAGACGGUUCAAGUCGGAAUAGAGGGCAGUUUUUACCACGAAGUGACGAUCUACUACUACAAUCGAGGGCGAGGAGAGUUUGAAGUCACAGAUGGAGGCAGGAUUCUGCGGGACCAAAGAGACGGAAGAGAUCGAAGACUGAGUGUUCAAACUAAAUACGGGAAUAAAUUUCAAAUCACCCGUCUUCAUAGAGGAGGAUACUAUUUCAACACUUACGGAUUCUGGAAAAAGGAACUGGGACGUACAUACGACUAUUAAACCCCAAGACCUUUCUGACGAGGACAAGAGCCUAUUCCUGGGAGUGAUGAUUUAGUAUAAGACCCUCAUAUAACGAUUGUUUUAUUGUGAACACAGUUUAUAGGUAAUAAAGUUUUUUCUCUUACAAAGGAGAGAAUUGUGUGGCGUUCUUGUUUAUUCUUAUGCUGUCACAUAAUUCCCUCACGUCACAGGGAGCAGCUAAAAAUAAUCGAUUACCAGACACAUGAAAAUGCGCAACUCAGCAUAACGUACGGCGGAAACGCGCGAGUAUAAUUGAACUGAAGCAGCAGAGCAGACCAACUGAGACCGACAAUAUCGAUGAAUAAAAAUUGUUACUUCGAAGGCUUAAGUGACAGACGUCAAACGAGACAAUGUCAACGGAAAAAAGAGGAUUCUGUAUGACCCUGGCAACAUCGGAAAUGAUCACAGUAUAACCCUACUUAACCGUCAUUUGUGUUAGUAUUAUGUAAUGUAAAACAGACAUUAAGAAAGCGCGCACAAGUCCUGUACACGUGCCGUUUCAGCAGCCAAUCACGCGUUGCGUAUUAAUGUAUACACAAUCAUGAGCUCAACAGUCUGCGUGAGAUUUCUACCGAGUACCGUCAUUCCCGCGGACUGCAGUCUCGAUAACAGGCGUGAAAAUUCAACUUUUCGCUGUAAUUCAACCCUUCUAAAACUAAUAUGACUUCGCCAUAUCAACCACCGGAUCCAUUUAACUCAUUUUACGAGGCGGUUCAGGUCGGAAGAAAUGGUAACGUUAACCACGAUGUCACAAUCUAUUACACCGUCUACAAUCGAGGAAGAGGAGAUUUCAGUGUCACAGACGGAGGAAAGAUAAUCUGGGAAGAGCCAGACGGAACAAAUCGAAAACUUAGAGUUGAGACUAGACAAGGAGUAAGAUUUAGUAUCACUCGUCGUCGCGGAAAAGGAGGAUACUAUUUAAACACUAGUGGAUUCUGGAUAAACGAAUUGGGACGUACAUACUCCUAACCCAAAGAUCUCUCUGACGAGGACAAGAGCCUAUUACAAUUUAUGAUUUAAUAAUAUAAGACCCUAAUAUAACGAUUUUUAUUGUGAAAGCAUUUCAUAAGUAAUAAAGUUUUUUCUGCUACAAAAUAGAGAAUUGUGUGGCGUGUUUUUUUUUAACCCAAUGUUGUCACAAAAUCUCUCUUACAUCAUGGGAAGAAGCUAAAAAUAAUUGAUUACCAAACAUAUGAAAUGCACAAAUUAGCAUAAGCCUCGGCGCGCAUGUUUACAACCACACACGCGCAAGUACAAUUGAACUGACACACCGGAGCGUCAAACGAAUCGAGGAACUCGACUAUAAAAGAGCUUUUCAACAUUAGACGGCGGAUAAAAUGGGUGACGGAUACAACCCAGAUGAACCAAACGCGCGUAAAUUUUGCGAAGUGAUCCAGAUCGGAAUUGAAGAUGAUACCGCCGAAGUGACCAUCUUCUAUACUCCAGAAAGAGAAUUCAAAAUCAGCGAUGGCUUCAAGGCUGAAGAUGAAGAAAGGCAUAAUUAUGGGCGACGAUAUCGACGAUUAAAAAUUGUUACUUCGAAGGCUAACGUGAUAGAAGUCAAACGAUAUAGUAACGGAGAAUACAACGUAGACGCCAACGGGAAACAAUAUUAUUUUGAUGGACGAAAAGUGGAAGUAUAAACAUUCUUCGCGGAGCGCUGCAAAAAAUCGGACAUCUGUAGAUUUAUUCACAACAAAAUGUUUCAAACUGUAGUGUGAAGUGAAUAAAGUUCGUAUUUUGAUGUGGAAAACUGGGUAUGUGUUAUUGUUUUGAACAGAUUUAUUGGCUCAAAACGCCUCCUUCCUAUGAUCGAAUUUCACUCCUUAGCACACUUGUUACUACUUAUUUUUAUUGUAUUCGCGAUUAGUAUUAUGAGAAACAGAACAUUGUAUAUUGUAUGGUUGCAAAUACUAUAGCCUUACCCGAGUCUACCAACUACAUCAGAAGCUGGCAAAAUGCGCAAAACCCACGCGCGCGUAAGCCGCGAAGGCGGGCUGCUUCGUGACCGACAUCACUGAUAAAACGCUAGUAGUAAAUCUUUGGCUUAAUCUAUAUUAGCGUUGCUUAGCUCGAGUUCGCUUUCUGUAAUGCAAAAUUUCCCACCAAAAUGUACAGCUUACAAACGAACGAUUUCGUAGCCAAGGCUAUGAAAUAGCCAAGAUGCACAGAGACAAUGGAGACCUUGCAGCUGCAAUUUACUUGAAGAAAAACGGAGGUCAAACGUAUUCGUGUACUUGCCAUCAACAGCAAAGCUUAGAAAAGCGUCAAUAACUGCCAAAAGGGAAUUACCCUUGCACUUUGUAAAGCGAGAUUUGAUGCGACGUCAAUAAAUUGAAAAUAAAACACUCAAAAGGCAUUAGUCUGUUCAAACUCUGUUCUCUCCCUUCCUCUUGCUCCGCCCACUGAACUUAAAUUAAGCUAUUCAAGGGUUACGGGCACGCGCGCGCGCGUUUAGAACAGAUAAACUAAAGAAAAGAUCAGACAAUCCAGGACAGAAGAAAAUGGGGCUUACGGCUGAGAUGAAAAGGACUUUUAGAAUAGCAAUCGACUUCUAAGAAUUCAAAUGCAAACAAGGAAAAAAGAAAACAAAUGUGGAGCUAAAAUAUGCGUUCGCGUCAAAGGGUGAUAUUAACUCUGCGUAAAAACAGAACUUUCGCGCGAGGCAAACCAGUCAUAGAAAAACACGCAACUAAAACGCGCGCGAUGAAGGGAAUUGACCUUCAUACAAUGUAUUAACAGUCAAUGCGUCUGCAUAACAAAGACUAAUUUGAAUAAAAGUUUGCUUAGCGAAGCAGUUUUGUCAAAUGAUAUUUAUAACGCGCAAACAAUUAUUCCCUCUAAAACGCUGUGAACCAAAUAUCUAAACGAUCCGAGCAAAAAUGUCAGGGACGGAAAAAGAGGAGCCUUACAACGACUUCCAAGAAAAAGUGAAAAUUGGCACUGAAUGUAUACAUCGCCAUGCCGAUGUAAUCGUAUCUUUCGACUCGCGGACAGGAGAUUUCACAGCCGAGAAGGGAAAAAUUGUCAAAAUAACUCCGCAGCGGAUAUCCCGAGACACAACAACUAAGUUAACAGUUGAAUCGGAUGGACAAUCUCGUUACGUUGUCAACCGAAAAACAGGAGGAGUCUACGAGGCUCAAAGCUGGUUUACUUGGGUAACCUUCAAGAGGACUGAAUUAAAUUGAGAUUACAGAUUGCUUCGGAGCACAGCGACCUAAGAAGUCUAGAGAUUGCUUAUCACGCAUUGUUUGAAACUGUAAUGAGAAAGAAUUAAAGUUUAUCAUUCUGUGUUGGAAACGUGUAUCAGUGUAAUAUAAAAGAUUAACUCAACUUUGAUUACGCUCCACAUCAAAGAGAUCCUUAGCAUAAACCCUUUCGCUUUACUGGUGCAAAAUAAAGAGGGACAGAAAUCUAUAACAAAUUUACGAAAUAAACGCGCGCGUGACAGGGACCGUUACGUUAACUGUCACAGGUCGUUCGAUAGACUAAGCUUUAUUCAUCUUCUCUCCACAAAACGGCCUAACAUGAAUCCUACCCACGUCUCCAAACGAACAGCUUUAAGAUUUUAAAGUUAUGUUUAAAAUCUUUGAGAUAUUCACGACAAUUUUAGCUCCAUAAAAAUUUUGGCUUGAUAAAACCAGUGUUCUCGUUCACACUUCAAGCGAGUCCUGGCAAGUUCUGGAAGAAAUUUUCAUGCGUUGCCUGUGGGAUUGUAGCAAUUCUAACCACAUGAACGACGCCCAAUUUAAGAGCCAAUUUUCCGUGCACAAUUGACUUAUUGAAUAUACAUAACUGUACUGAAUUCGAUGGCGCAGCUUUGUUAGCUGCAUGCGAUAAUUAUAAUUCGUUGAACUUCUACGCUGUAUUGAGUUAUGAUUUCAACCAACCCUUGUGACUACUGACGUACUCGUGGCAUAAAUAUUGCCGCCCGCAAGAGGAGCUUGGGAUACAUGACAUCACUUACAUAUGACAUCACUUGUACAUAAAGUGCCGACUCGUAAAACUAUUGUGACACAUCUAUAUCGAAAGUCAUCGAGCUCGAACCCGGCAAUUUUAAAUAUAGACUUUUGGCUAAAAUGAGUCUGUAUCAGACUACUGAUUUUAGUAACAGUUGCGAGGUAUUGAAACUAUACAGAACAGUAUAUGAGCCUUAUCAACAUGAGGCGACGAUAUUCCGAAAGCCAAACGGAGAGUUUGAAGUUCACGGAGCUUGCUUGGUGAGUGAUGAACGAAACCAAGUUUGGAAUGGAGGACGAAUUCGAUACGAUAGAAGACUUAAAAUCGUAACAACUUCGUACAAUGUGGUGGAGUUCGAGCGCCGUGGGACAGGAGAAUACCGAACGAUCACCGCUGGAUAUUUUUUAAGUGACCCAAAUUUUGUACCGGUUUGAACGAGUUCGACGAAGGUGAAGGAAAACUCAAGGCAUGUAACCACAAGACCAUUAGUGAAGAAAAACGUGCUGUAAUAGUGAUAUUCACCAAUAAACGUUCUUUUCACAUGUUAUGUGUUUAUGUCUAUUCAUUCUACUUUGCGCGCGCAAAAAUACUGCUUACCGCUCUGAAAAAUAAAACUACAGAAGAAAUAUAAGUACAAUGUUAUCGCCGAGAUCAUACGGAAAAAUCGAGAAAUCCAAGCAUUUCUUUGCGACUGAUAUACUUUGUUACAGAGAUAUGAUGCAAUGUCUAGAGCUAAACAUGCUUAUCGCGAGGCACAAAUUGCUUUCUCUGCCUACCGCCGCCCCCGUCUUCUAACUCGUGUGGAAACUAAUUGAAUUCACAGUUCGUAAGAGAGACAGGCAUAAUUACAGAUGCGCUUCCAAAGAGCGACCCAAGGGCAAAGAUUUGACUUUUGAUAUGCUAAGGUGGAUAAACUUCUUAGCUUUCCUUGUAUCUGAAAAAACAAAUGUGGAGCUAAAAUAUUCGUUCCCGUCUAAGGGACUGAAAUUAACUGUGAGGAAAUACAUAAACAAACGCACAGCCAGGAGUCGUACGAGAAUGAAACGUGCGCGCGAGAGGGCGCGCGAAUCUAUAACAAGCACACCCACGACUAACACGCACGCGUGAGUGAGAGAAAAUAACAUUGCGAGAAUUCUAUUGAUAGUCACUGUGCGUCUGCACAGACAAAGACUCAAUUUGAAUAAACGUUUGCUUAGCGAAGCAGGUUUGUCGAAUAGUAUUUCCAGGGGGCAAACAGCUAUUCUCUCUCAAUUGCGUACAAAUACCUAAACAGUCUGAACAAAAAUGAAUUGCUUUCAAUCAGACGAGCCUAACAGCGACUUCUUUGAAGAAGUGGAGGUUGGAAGACGUUUCCAUCUAUGUCCCAAUGUUAAACUUACCUUCAACUCGAGGACUGGAGAUUUCGACGUGCUAUUUGGACGCAUUGACCAUAGAACUCCCUGGCAGAUAAACCGAAGGAGACCAACUAUUUUAACUCUCUCAGGCGGUGGACACACUUUUGUUGUCACUCGGCGUCCAGGAGGAGUCUACGACACCAACACUUUUUGGACUUGGGUAACCGUUGAGAAGUAUCCAAUAAAAUGAGGCAAGAGGUCAAAACAAAGGACUCCGAAAAAGUCGCAACAAGGAAUUGUCUGCGAAUGGUCUCACAAACACUCUGGAAGUGCAACAAUUCGUCAAUUUUCCAGUUGUAAUUUUCCUCUUUCUAAUCUUCUUACAGAAUGCUUUGAAGUGCACUGAUGUAGGAAGUCUGCAGAUUAAUUACAACGCAACCUUAUCCAUAGCACUUUAGCAAGAAAGAAAUAAAGGUCAUGUUUUGUGCCUCGAAAAUUGUACCUAUGUAAUAUUUCAAAUAGAAUUACUGGCUUACGAUUAUAAUCUCGAAGAUUUUAGAACUUGAUGACGUCACGUGAAAACGAUCUUAGGACGAUGUGUUCAAGAUUGGUUUUCUCUUUUCCUCCUGCUCCGCCCACUGAGCUAAAAGAUAAAACUCACAGCCUCUGCUUACCAAAGACCUAAUUUGAAUAAACUUUUGUUUAGCGAAGCAGAUUUCCAGAAUAACAUUGCUCACGCGAAAACAACCAUUCGCUAUAAAGACGGAAACAUCUAUCUAAACGAUCUCGCGAAACAUGGCAGGUUUUGAAUCAUACGAUCCCAGAAACGAUUUCUUUGAAGAAGUCCAUCUAGGAAGGCGAUUCCCUCUGUGCUGUUCCAACGUCAUAUUAAAGUACGACUCAGCCACUGGAGGUUUCACGGCCCAGUCAGGACGAAUUAUCCAAAAAACGCCACAACGAACACAAAAGAACACACCAACUACAUUAACGGUGAAAGCUAAGGGAGGAUGCGAAUUCCACGUAACGCGAAACCCUAGAGGAGAAUACCGGGUCGACAAUUGUUGCACUUGGAUAACGGUUGAGAAAAUGUACAAGACUAAGUAUUAAGCAUGUCAAAGAAAGCUUGGACGUCUAUAGAAUGCUCAUAGCAUGCUGCAGUGUUACGUCAAUAAAGAUCACAUUUUCUGUGCA